rnacentral:rRNA from 1 species
CCUACGGGAGGCAGCAGUGGGGAAUAUUGGACAAUGGGCGCAAGCCUGAUCCAGCAAUGCCGCGUGAGUGAUGAAGGCCUUAGGGUCGUAAAGCUCUUUUACCAGGGAUGAUAAUGACAGUACCUGGAGAAUAAGCUCCGGCUAACUCCGUGCCAGCAGCCGCGGUAAUACGGAGGGAGCUAGCGUUGUUCGGAAUUACUGGGCGUAAAGCGUACGUAGGCGGUUAUUCAAGUCAGAGGUGAAAGCCCGGGGCUCAACCCCGGAACGGCCUUUGAAACUAGGUAGCUAGAAUCUUGGAGAGGUCAGUGGAAUUCCGAGUGUAGAGGUGAAAUUCGUAGAUAUUCGGAAGAACACCAGUGGCGAAGGCGACUGACUGGACAAGUAUUGACGCUGAGGUACGAAAGCGUGGGGAGCAAACAGGAUUAGAUACCCUGGUAGUCCACGCCGUAAACGAUNAUACUAGCUGUCCGGGUCCGACUUGGUGNGCCUGGGUGGCGCAGCUAACGCAUUAAGUUAUCCGGCCUGGGGAGUACGGUCGCAAAGAAUUAAAACUUAAAUGAAUUGACGG